rnacentral:rRNA from 1 species
UGGGGAAUAUUGGACAAUGGGGCAACCCUGAUCCAGCAACGCCGCGUGGGGGAUGAAGGUCCUAGGAUUGUAAACCCCUGUUGGGAGGGACGAAGGCUUGCGGGCGAACAGUCCGUACGCUUGACGGUACCUCCAGAAGAAGCCCCGGCUAACUACGUGCCAGCAGCCGCGGUAAUACGUAGGGGGCGAGCGUUGUCCGGAUUUACUGGGCGUAAAGAGCGUGUAGGCGGCCAGGCAGGUCCGUUGUGAAAACUGGAGGCUCAACCUUCAGACGUCGACGGAAACCGCUUGGCUAGAGUCCGGAAGAGGAGAGUGGAAUUCCUGGUGUAGCGGUGAAAUGCGCAGAUAUCAGGAAGAACACCAAUGGCGAAGGCAGCUCUCUGGGACGGUACUGACGCUGAGACGCGAAAGCGUGGGGAGCGAACAGGAUUAGAUACCCUGGUAGUCCACGCCGUAAACGAUGGGUGCUAGGUGUGGGAGGUGUCGACUCCUCCGUGCCGCAGCUAACG